CUAUACAAAAUUGUUCGGAGUUCGGAUUGCCCGAAAGGCCCGAAACUACACGGCGUAAUGCCUCGCUAAUAUAAUAAAAUUUUUUAUAAAAUUAUCAAUAAAAUAGUGGACAAUUGGUGUUUCAUCGUCCGACAAUGGCCACAGCUUACGUCAAAGAUGAUCAAGGUGGAACUUUCAUUGCAGCCAGCCAACGUCCUGACGGUACUUGGCGUAAACCACGAAGAGUCAAGGACGGAUAUGUGCCACAAGAAGAGGUUCCUUUAUACGAGAGUUUAGGAAAGCAGUUUUUGAAAAAUAAGCCAACUCAUCCGCCUGGAGUAUCAGCGGAAUACAUAGCAGCGCAAAAAGCGAAAAAAGAGGGGCAAAGUACGAAAACGACGAUACCGGGAAUGCCAGCACAGGUUGAUUCGAAGAAGAAAAAGAAGAAAUCAAAGAGCAAAGGGAAUAAUACGAUAACGGAAGAUUUGGCAAAGACAACGAUAUCCGAGUCUGAAGCCACCAUUAGAACGAAAAAUUCAGUAAAUUCAACACCUAAACCCCAGUCCGUUGUUUCGUGCAGACAAGAUGCAAUGGGCGCCUCGCAUUUAAGUGAAAGCAUGAAGAGACUCAAGAAUUUAAGGAAAAAAAUUCGUGAGAUUGAGACUCUUGAGCAAAAAAUUCGUGACGGGGUGAUUAAAAACCCAGAGAAAGAAAUGCUGGAAAAAGUAUCAAGAAAAUCAGAAAUUCAGGAAGAAAUCAAGUUAUUAGAAUCAAAUCAGUGAUCUCUCUCCCAGAACCGUUAAUAAUUAUUCUGGUACAAACUUUAGAUUGUGCCAUUGUUCGUCUCGCGUUAUUUUUUUUUAUAUUUCAUCGUCGAGCAAAAAUUUCUUCGCAUUUUUUAAAACGAUCCUUUUUUCGAAUUUCGAUACUGCAAUUCCCUGCGAUGAAAAGAAUUAUUUUAUCGAACAUUUGAAUACGAAUAAUGAAUACCUCGAAUUGUACAUUUGGAUGUGAUGAAUAGAGAGGAGAUAGGAGAGAAAAUUAUAUAUAUAUAUAUAUAAUUAUAUAUAUAUACAUAUAUACAUACAUACAUACAUAAAUCAAAAUGCAUUUAUUUUAUUUCUUCGCAAUGAGCACUUUCAUACCCAAUUAGGCAAUAAUCUUGCAGCCAAUGAUAAUUGUAACAGGAAAAUCCGAAAACUUUUAUGCUAAGCAGACGAGCAUGGGAAAUUUUAAAAAAUCAAUGCAACACUUUUUCAAUAGAAAUGUUUUUUUUUUUACAAUUCGCAUUUUCAUCGAAUUGGAAGAAUGUACGCGAAAACAAGUGAAAAUCACUUCCGUGUUAAAUGUCAGGAGAGCUUAUUUUUCCGAUGAUUUUUUAAGAUAUUUUGAAUCAUCGAUUGAUUGAAUUUCUGUCACCACUCAUUCACCAAAUAUUGUCAUCAAUGAUUGGGUGCUGUUGUGUAAAACUCUACAUUAUAAUAUUGUUAUGUAUUGCAGCCGUUAUACCAGCUGCAAUAAUUCUCUUUUAUAACCCGCAAUUAUUGGGAAUCAACGAGGAAGACAGCGAGCCUAUCGGCAAAGUUUAAUUUGAAAGGUUCAAGCGUAAUUGAUAUGGAAACAUCUCGUCACGGUAAACUCAAAAACGACCCAUUUUGCUUUGCGACGAGCUCGAGAAUGUCGGUACCAAGAAUGUUCAUCAGUCGCAAGAAAAUAAAACGUCGUAAUUUACAAACAAGAAGUUCAAUAUUUUAAGAUUCAAUUUUUAUAACGAUAUUUGUCAAUAAACUUGGGGUAACAAAGGAA
rnacentral:misc_RNA from 1 species